GCGGCGGUAGUCUAGCCUGGACUAGGACGUCGGCCCUCCAAGCCGAAGGUCCCGGGUUCAAAUCCCGGCCGCCGCACCA
rnacentral:tRNA from 1 species